GGUCAAGUCCAUAUCUCAGAUACUAUAAGCAAUAGGGCUAGUAUAUUCGGUGUAUGGAAGGACUGUAAGGUGUACAUGUCCAACUGGCAGGUGUCAUCUGACCUUGACCUCAUUUUCAUGGUUCAGUGGUUAUAGUUAAAUUUUUGUGUUUUGGUCUGUUUUUCUCGAACCAUAUGCAAUAGGUCUACUAUAUUUGAUGUAUGGAAUGAUUGUAAGGUGUACAUGUCUAGCGGGCAGAUGUCAUGUGACCUUGACCUCAUUUUCAUGAUUUAGUGGUCAAAGUUAAGUUUUUGAGUUUUGGUCUUUUUAUCUAAUACUAUAUGCCAUAGGUAAACUAUAUUUGGUGUAUGGAAAUAUUUUAUGAUCUUUAUGUCAGUCGCGCAGGUUUUAUUUGACCGUGACCUCAUUUUCACGGUUCAUUGCACAGUGUUAAGUUUUUGUGUUUUGGUCUAUUUUUCUUAAACUAUAAGUAAUGGGUCAAUUUUAUAUGUUGUAUAGAAGCAUUGUUAGCUGUACA
rnacentral:lncRNA from 1 species